rnacentral:rRNA from 1 species
GGCUCAGAUUGAACGCUGGCGGCAUGCCUUACACAUGCAAGUCGAACGGUAACAGGGAGCUUGCUCCGCUGACGAGUGGCGAACGGGUGAGUAAUACAUCGGAACGUGUCCUGUAGUGGGGGAUAGCCCGGCGAAAGCCGGAUUAAUACCGCAUACGCUCUACGGAGGAAAGGGGGGGAUCUUAGGACCUCUCGCUAUAGGGGCGGCCGAUGGCAGAUUAGCUAGUUGGUGGGGUAA